rnacentral:rRNA from 1 species
GACAGAGGGUGCAAACGUUGCUCGGAAUUACUGGGCGUAAAGCGCGUGUAGGUGGCUUGGUGUGUCAGAUGUGAAAGCCCUGGGCUCAACCCAGGAACUGCACCUGAAACUACCAGUCUUGAGUGGUGGAGAGGGAAGUGGAAUUCCUGGUGUAGCGGUGAAAUGCGCAGAUAUCAGGAGGAACACCGAUGGCGAAGGCAGGUCUCUGGGCAUUAACUGACGCUGAGGAGCGAAAGCAUGGGGAGCGAACAGG